rnacentral:rRNA from 1 species
UACGAAGGGGGCUAGCGUUGCUCGGAAUCACUGGGCGUAAAGGGCGCGUAGGCGGCCGAUUAAGUCGGGGGUGAAAGCCUGUGGCUCAACCACAGAAUUGCCUUCGAUACUGGUUGGCUUGAGACCGGAAGAGGACAGCGGAACUGCGAGUGUAGAGGUGAAAUUCGUAGAUAUUCGCAAGAACACCAGUGGCGAAGGCGGCUGUCUGGUCCGGUUCUGACGCUGGGGCGCGAAAGCGUGGGGAGCAAACAGG